GAUGAACGCUGGCGGCGUGCCUAAUACAUGCAAGUCGAGCGAAUGGAUUAAGAGCUUGCUCUUAUGAAGUUAGCGGCGGACGGGUGAGUAACACGUGGGUAACCUGCCCAUAAGACUGGGAUAACUCCGGGAAACCGGGGCUAAUACCGGAUAACAUUUUGAACCGCAUGGUUCGAAAGUGAAAGGCGGCUUCGGCUGUCACUUAUGGAUGGACCCGCGUCGCAUUAGCUAGUUGGUGAGGUAACGGCUAACCAAGGCAACGAUGCGGAGCCGACCUGAGAGGGUGAUCGGCCACACUGGGACUGAGACCCGGCCCAGACUCCUACGGGAGGCAGCAGUAGGGAAUCUUCCGCAAUGGACGAAAGUCUGACGGAGCAACGCCGCGUGAGUGAUGAAGGCUUUCGGGUCGUAAAACUCUGUUGUUAGGGAAGAACAAGUGCUAGUUGAAUAAGCUGGCACCUUGACGGUACCUAACCAGAAAGCCACGGCUAACUACGUGCCAGCCGCCGCAGUAA
rnacentral:rRNA from 1 species